rnacentral:rRNA from 1 species
ACGGCUCAGUAACACGUAGUCAAUCUACCCUAUGGACGGGAAUAACCUCGGGAAACUGAGAAUAAUGCCCGACAGAACAUUAUACCUGGAACGGUUUAUGUUUUAAAUGAUUUAUCGCCGUAGGAUGGGACUGCGGCCUAUCAGUUUGUUGGUGAGGUAAUGGCCCACCAAGACUAUUACAGGUACGGGCUCUGAGAGGAGUAGCCCGGAGAUGGGUACUGAGACACGGACCCAGGCCCUAUGGGGCGCAGCAGGCGAGAAAACUUUGCAAUGUGCGAAAGCACGACAAGGUUAAUCCGAGUGGUUUCUGCUAAAGAAACCUUUUGCUAGUCCUAGAAACACUAGUGAAUAAGGGGUGGGCAAGUUCUGGUGUCAGCCGCCGCGGUAAAACCAGCACCUCAAGUGGUCAGGAUGAUUAUUGGGCCUAAAGCAUCCGUAGCUCGUUUUGUAAGUUUUCGGUUAAAUCCAUACGCUCAACGUAUGGGCUGCCGGUAAUACUGCAUAACUAGGAAGUGGGAGAGGUAGACGGUACUCGGUAGGAAGGGGUAAAAUCCUUUGAUCUAUUGAUGACCACCUGUGGCGAAGGCGGUCUACCAGAACACGUUCGACGGUGAGGGAUGAAAGCUGGGGGAGCAAACCGGAUUAGAUACCCGGGUAGUCCCAGCUGUAAACUAUGCAAACUCAGUGAUGCAUUGGCUUGUGGCCAAUGCAGUGCUGCAGGGAAGCCGUUAAGUUUGCCGCCUGGGAAGUACGUACGCAAGUAUGAAACUUAAAGGAAUUGGCGGGGGAGCAC